rnacentral:lncRNA from 12 species
GGGAUCAGUGGGAAAAUGAAUUUCCUCUGGAUAUAUGGUCAGAAGACUGAAGACCUAAGUCAGAUGUCUAUGAAUUCUGCCAAUUUUUUCAACAACUUGGAGUGGGAUUAGUCUCUCUCUCUCUCCCCUCUGCCCAGGCAGUGCUGGAGCACACCAGGAUCAAAGCUGAAGGCUGAAAGCCAUUCUGUCCCAAACAAUCUGCAGAACAACUGCAAAAUAACCUCAGACUGCCUUGGAAAGAAGAAUGGCAAUGCUUCCCCUCUUCCACAAUGUUCCUUCCCACACCAUUUCUCUAAAUUUCC